GCAGGCUUAACACAUGCAAGUCGAGGGGUAACGCGAGGUAGCAAUACUUUGGCGACGACCGGCGCACGGGUGCGUAACGCGUAUGCAACCUACCUGUAACAGGGGCAUAACGGAGAGAAAUUUCCACUAAUUCCCCAUAUAGUCAGAGAAUCGCAUGAUUUUCUGACGAAAGCUUCGGUGGUUACGGAUGGGCAUGCGUGACAUUAGCUAGUUGGUAAGGUAACGGCUUACCAAGGCGACGAUGUCUAGGGGAGCUGAGAGGCUUAUCCCCCACACUGGUACUGAGACACGGACCAGACUCCUACGGGAGGCAGCAGUGAGGAAUAUUGGUCAAUGGACGGAAGUCUGAACCAGCCAUGCCGCGUGGAGGAAGAAGGUCCUAUGGGUUGUAAACUCCUUUUGUUCCGGAGUAAUAAGGGGCAUGCGUGCCCCGAUGAGAGUACGGGACGAAUAAGCAUCGGCUAACUCCGUGCCAGCAGCCGCGGUAAUACGGAGGAUGCGAGCGUNAUCCGGAUUUAUUGGGUUUAAAGGGUGCGCAGGCGGCGC
rnacentral:rRNA from 1 species